rnacentral:rRNA from 1 species
UUGGGUAGGGGAGCGUUCUGUAAGCCUGCGAAGGUGUGCUGUGAGGCAUGCUGGAGGUAUCAGAAGUGCGAAUGCUGACAUAAGUAACGAUAAAGCGGGUGAAAAGCCCGCUCGCCGGAAGACCAAGGGUUCCUGUCCAACGUUAAUCGGGGCAGGGUGAGUCGACCCCUAAGGCGAGGCCGAAAGGCGUAGUCGAUGGGAAACAGGUUAAUAUUCCUGUACUUGGUGUUACUGCGAAGGGGGGACGGAGAAGGCUAUGUUGGCCGGGCGACGGUUGUCCCGGUUUAAGCGUGUAGGCUGGUUUUCCAGGCAAAUCCGGAAAAUCAAGGCUGAGGCGUGAUGACGAGGCACUACGGUGCUGAAGCAACAAAUGCCCUGCUUCCAGGAAAAGCCUCUAAGCAUCAGGUAACAUCAAAUCGUACCCCAAACCGACACAGGUGGUCAGGUAGAGAAUACCAAGGCGCUUGAGAGAACUCGGGUGAAGGAACUAGGCAAAAUGGUGCCGUAACUUCGGGAGAAGGCACGCUGAUAUGUAGGUGAAGUCCCUCGCGGAUGGAGCUGAAAUCAGUCGAAGAUACCAGCUGGCUGCAACUGUUUAUUAAAAACACAGCACUGUGCAAACACGAAAGUGGACGUAUACGGUGUGACGCCUGCCCGGUGC